AGCAGUGCGCCGAUUGCCGGGGGCGCGAGCGGCCUUCGCGGUUUAAAUCAAAGAUCGUUGGGUUUAAAUAUUGAUUUUAACCGUACGUGGUCCAUAAAAGACGGCGGCGCCGAGUCUUCAGAGACUUAAGUACUUUGCAAAACGUGUGAGCACUUUCUAUCAGGACAUCAGCCAUCAUUUACUGCCUUCAAUAACAGCACUGGACCAUGUUCUGCCACAGGGCAGUGUUUUGUAGCCCGCUGAAGAUUCUGAGGGAUCUGCAGCAAACCUUUGCUAGCUGGGGUUGCGGAGUGGAUCUGGGAAGAACCAAAAGUGGGUCCAGUCUAGACUGGAAGUGGCAAUGCUGAGGAGAGUGAAGCAGGACAUACAAGAAUGCUCCAGAAGAAGGCAAAUUGCAAGGACCUAUUAGCGAUCCUGGAGAGAGUGAAAGACCAAAGGGCCUGUCCCACUUUCACGACCUAAAAAACGAUCAAAAACCUAUGACCUACAACUAUGUCAACGGCCUCCUACGACUAUGUUGAAGACCUCCCAUGACUAUGUUGAGGACCUCCCACGACUAUGUUGAGCACCUCCUUUGACUAUGUUGAAGACUGGCUUCGACCAUGUACGUUUUACUGCUGUUUGCAGUAGCCCUGUUGCUUCAGCAGCCUUUUAAGAAAGGCAGAAGGGGAAGAGCAAGGGUGAAGAGGAAGCACAAGAAGAGGUCUCAAAGAGUGAAUGGAGAUAAUGUGAUGGACUGUCCCAGUACACCAGAUGACUGGUAGAGAAUGAUGCUGGGCUUUGACAAAAGAUGGAACUUUAGGCACACAUGUGGGGCAGUGGAUGGCAAGCAUGCCAUUCUUGUCCCCGUCCCUCAUUUUCCUUUUCAUACAGGACUGCAUUCUGCUGGAACCAUUCCUCAAGGUCCCUGUCCUGCUGCCUCGUGAAGGUGUAGGGCAUCACCUUCCUCCAGCCCUCCCUCACCACCAAUGGGGCAUCUGCCUUCACACGAAGGCAGUUGCUUUGCUGCCUUCACACGAGGCAGUGAAGGAAGUGGUGGUGGUGGGGACAUGUACUACCACCCUGGUCUCCUCCAGGGGGUCUCUCAUGCAGGUCUACCUCUUUCUGCACUAUCACCUCCAGUGGCAUCACCUCCUGCCAUUUCUCCUCUUGGGUUAACACCUGCAUGGCUGGCUUUUUUGAGGGUUGUGCCCUCCCCCUGCACUGCUGCCUUUUUGGUGUCAUCUCUAAAACACGUCUCCUCGCCAAAAAACUCCAGCCAUGACUGAACAUGCCUUGGCGUGAGAGGUGACGUUCUGCUGUUUAAAUACUGUUUUCUCUACUGACCUUUUUCACCACAGAGCUAUUACCUUCGACUGCCUCCGACUAACAUCACGACCUACUACGACCUACCUACGAGUAAAAAGUAUCGAUUUUUUCCAUGCCGAUCUUUAUUUUUUACCCGUGGACAUUUUUCAUCGGGCUAGAAAAACUGCCGCGAUCUACUUGCCACAAGUACCUACGACUAGCAUCGCAACCUAAGACUUCCUAGUACCUCGUGGCGACCAUGCUGCGAGUACGAGUCAAGGGCAAACUCGGCAGAGGUCGUGAAAGUUGGACAGGCCCUUUAGGCGGUUGGCAGCGAUCACAAGAUCAAAAGGCAAAUAUCAGGAGCAGCCCAGGUGGUUUAAGACAGCAGAAUGGUAGGCAGUUCCCCUGGGAAUAGUGUCUGGCAGCGAGAGGAAAAGGCAAAGUAGGUAUAUGGAGGGACGAGAGGGGUGAAUAGGGAGGAGGGGAACAUGUGGGAGGUGUGGACAACAUAAUGCAUGUCUGCAAACAUCAGUCUGUGUGUUAAAUCUAUGCUGCAGAGCUUGGUCUUAAAUUGUAUUGGAUUUUCCUGCCUUUUGAAUAAAGACAUUGCUGUGCCGACUGUAGCUGAUGAAUAAUAACCACUCCACAUUAAAACAAAUCAUCGGCAUCUUUCAAACUUCAAAGAAAAUUUUAAAUCUGGAAUGUCUGAAUCUUCAUGGACAGUGACCAACCUGACCAUGACACCCUGCUCAGAGCCUAGGAAAAUUAGGAUGUUCAAGAUUGAUAUUGCGAACCUUGAAAGAAACACGUGGCUAGUUCACUCUUGAAGGCACAAAAUGCUAGAGCCACUCUGGCUCAGACAGCAUCUCCUUAUUGAUCAGCCACAAAAGAUCGCAGCUGCCUGGAGCUUCCAGUGCAGAUCAUUUUAACUCUCCUCCCACACUAAUCAGGUCUGCGUUAAGCCUUCUUCCUGUGGAAAGGCCAAAUGCAAAAAUCACAUCUCAUUUGGGUGACUUAGUCAAAUGUACAAAUAUUGAAUUUUCCCAUUUUAGGUAAUCCAUACCCCGACUAGUGUUCUUGUCCACCCAUUCACUGUCUACCUAGUUUUCUUCUCCUUUUGUUUACCUUUUCCCCCAAUCACCUCCCCUACCUGAUUCAAUUUGCCCAUCUCUAUCUGGUUCCAUCUAUUACCUACCAGUCUUGGUCCAACCCCUCCCUCAUACUGCUGCAUAUUUAAACUUCCCCCUUCCCCCGGUUCUGAUGGACAGUUUCAACUCAAAACAUAAUUGUAACUCUUGCCUCCACGGAUGCUGCUUGGCCCAUUGAGUUCUUCAAAUCCUCCAUUUUCUGUGCCUUGUAGAAUGGAAAGCUUUUGCAGUCAGGUUGCAAAAAUAUUUAUUGCCACUUCUGAUCAAUGGUUACUCCCCAAAUGUGUUAAAGAUGGGGAAUUCACAAAUCAUAAUAAUGUUGAACCACCAAUGCAAUGUUUCACAAAGAAUUAAUAUAAAUAAUUGAAUCAUUUAUUUCUGUCAAAGGAAUAAAAAUACACAAAAUGUAUGACUUCACUGUAUAAACUUCACAAGCCACAUAUACAAAAUAAUCUUCAUGUCUUCAAAAUUCCAUGUUCCAAUAGCUGUAGGGUAUUGUACAAG